CUAAAUUAAACGUCGGAUUGCUAAUGUUAGUUAGCUUUAGCUGCUGAGCGUGUGCUAACAUUUUUGCCGGAAUACUACAACAACUUAAGAUAAAGUUGACAACGAAUGAAUACAUGAGACAGCGGCGAAUUUAUGUUUUGCUGCCAUUGGCGCUGUCGCAGUUUGGUCAGGGUUGCCAGAUAACGCGAGGAAAACAAGUAACCAGCUGUGAAGGCACCGAGGUCAUAAAACAGGUGUAGCAGACAUCUUCAGAAGCAGUAUUUCCCCAGAAAUCCUGAAGGCACUCCUCGUCUAAAUCUUCAGGUUUCCAAAGUGGCAAAUCUGACUGAUGCCGCUGAUCCAGCUGUUCAUCUCCUCCUCAGUGUUGGCCACCAGGUAAAAAAUGCGAGAUGAGGUCUUCACCACAAACAGGUGCUUCCCAUUGAAGUCUCG